UCGACGGAGCAUGCGCAGCGCCGCCCGCACAUGCUCAGUGAGAGCCGCCGCCAGCCCACGGGAGAGUUUCCGGGACGAAAUCCACUUUCCGGGUUUUCAGCGGGGCCCGCCGGGUCGUUGCCGGGCGAGAAGUUCCGGCGCUCACGGUCCCGUUCCACAUUCCGGUCUGGAGCUCCCCGGGGCCCCGUGGAGCUGCCCGGCUUGCAGGGCGCCCCUGGCUUGCUGCUUUGCCUCCUUUGAACAUCCUGACAUGUUCUCACCGCGCUGCCCGCAGCACAGAGUCGGUGCUAAUGAGAGUCCUUGCUCACGGAGGCGGGGAGAAGGUCGGGGAACACCUGGUUAGGAGCAGGAGCAGGAAACAAAUAAGGAAGAAGUAGCCAUAAACCCUCGCUCCCAUAGCUCGCUCGCUGCUCAGGUGUCAGCGCGGACGGGCGCCAAGCCAGGGACCCGUUGGCGCGUUCCCGUGUGGGACAGCGGCUGCGCGGAACAGACAAGACCCCGUUGUCUUUGGAGGGAGUGCUGAGAGUGGGGAGAAAACCGGGCGUCGGCAACAGAAGCAGCUGGUGCGGACACUUUGCAAAGGAAGGCCUGGCAGAGCUCAGUGUAGAAAGUAGUCCCCGCGAAAUAGAAAUGCGCUCUGAUGAUCCCUGAGGAAGUUUCUGCCUCUCUUCCUAGUAAAAUGACGUGAUGUCCGGGUUUCUGUGUGUGUAUGUGGUGCAUUUUCUGAGUAUUUUUCAAGGAUAAAUGUGCUUUUGGUGACAUGAAGCCAAUUCAGUUAAGCCUCAAUUCAAUGGAAUACGUCGGAAGAGCGCGUCGACUUAACCACUGCAAAGUGAGGAGUCAGCCCGACUGCCUCCAGCUCGGAAUUCACGAAUGGGGUGUCUGCAGGGUUGGAAGAGACCAGAGAGGUUAAUCAGUUAAAAACUACAGGCAGAACCCAACAAACGACGGAUGUAUGUAAGCUCCAUGAAGCCAGGACCUCAUCUCUCCAUCCUGUAUCGCUGCAUCCCCAGAACCUGGAGCGAGUAACGGGACAGCACUGCAGGACCGGGACUGGCCAGACCACAGACAUUCCAGGUCAGAAUUUAGAACCACAGGCUUUCCAGACAAGGUUAAUCUCUCCUCCUUUUACAGAGGGAAGGCAAGUGACGGUUCGCAGCCCCUCGGCUGUUCAAGGAGGCCCCAGCCCGCAGCGGCCUGGGAGUCCGAAGGCGUCCUCAAACCUCCUUCCCUCCAAACCCCACCGCCGCCUCAAUCUUCCGAGCUCAGCACUAGCAAAAACCCGGAGAAGUGGAGUCUUCCUAAACAGACACGGUUUCCGGACACAUUCUGGGCCUAGUAGUGCGCCGAUCGCGCAUGCGCAAGGCUGGCCCGUCCCUCCCGCGACCUCUUCCUGGCUUCCGCCUCCAGAGUUCAGACACGUCACCCGUGC